rnacentral:tRNA from 1 species
GCGAAUAGCUCAGUCGGUAGAGCAGGGGAUUGAAAAUCCCCGUGUCCUUGGUUCGAUUCCGAGUCCGGGCACCA